rnacentral:tRNA from 1 species
AAAAUCCGUCGACUUUCCAA